CAAACUGCGAAUACCGGAGAAUGUUAUCACGGGAGACACACGGCGGGUGCUAACGUCCGUCGUGAAGAGGGAAACAACCCAGACCGCCAGCUAAGGUCCCAAAGUCAUGGUUAAGUGGGAAACGAUGUGGGAAGGCCCAGACAGCCAGGAUGUUGGCUUAGAAGCAGCCAUCAUUUAAAGAAAGCGUAAUAGCUCACUGGUCGAGUCGGCCUGCGCGGAAGAUGUAACGGGGCUAAACCAUGCACCGAAGCUGCGGCAGCGAUGCUUAUGCGUUGUUGGGUAGGGGAGCGUUCUGUAAGCCUGCGAAGGUGUGCUGUGAGGCAUGCUGGAGGUAUCAGAAGUGCGAAUGCUGACAUAAGUAACGAUAAAGCGGGUGAAAAGCCCGCUCGCCGGAAGACCAAGGGUUCCUGUCCAACGUUAAUCGGGGCAGGGUGAGUCGACCCCUAAGGCGAGGCCGAAAGGCGUAGUCGAUGGGAAACAGGUUAAUAUUCCUGUACUUGGUGUUACUGCGAAGGGGGGACGGAGAAGGCUAUGUUGGCCGGGCGACGGUUGUCCCGGUUUAAGCGUGUAGGCUGGUUUUCCAGGCAAAUCCGGAAAAUCAAGGCUGAGGCGUGAUGACGAGGCACUACGGUGCUGAAGCAACAAAUGCCCUGCUUCCAGGAAAAGCCUCUAAGCAUCAGGUAACAUCAAAUCGUACCCCAAACCGACACAGGUGGUCAGGUAGAGAAUACCAAGGCGCUUGAGAGAACUCGGGUGAAGGAACUAGGCAAAAUGGUGCCGUAACUUCGGGAGAAGGCACGCUGAUAUGUAGGUGAAGUCCCUUGCGGAUGGAGCUGAAAUCAGUCGAAGAUACCAGCUGGCUGCAACUGUUUAUUAAAAACACAGCACUGUGCAAACACGAAAGUGGACGUAUACGGUGUGACGCCUGCCCGGUGCCGGAAGGUUAAUUGAUGGGGUCAGCGCAAGCGAAGCUCUUGAUCGAAGCCCCGGUAAACGGCGGCCGUAACUAUAACGGUCCUAAGGUAGCGAAAUUCCUUGUCGGGUAAGUUCCGACCUGCACGAAUGGCGUAAUGAUGGCCAGGCUGUCUCCACCCGAGACUCAGUGAAAUUGAACUCGCUGUGAAGAUGCAGUGUACCCGCGGCAAGACGGAAAGACCCCGUGAACCUUUACUAUAGCUUGACACUGAACAUUGAGCCUUGAUGUGUAGGAUAGGUGGGAGGCUUUGAAGUGUGGACGCCAGUCUGCAUGGAGCCGGCCUUGAAAUACCACCCUUUAAUGUUUGAUGUUCUAACGUGGACCCGUGAUCCGGGUUGCGGACAGUGUCUGGUGGGUAGUUUGACUGGGGCGGUCUCCUCCUAAAGAGUAACGGAGGAGCACGAAGGUUGGCUAAUCCUGGUCGGACAUCAGGAGGUUAGUGCAAUGGCAUAAGCCAGCUUGACUGCGAGCGUGACGGCGCGAGCAGGUGCGAAAGCAGGUCAUAGUGAUCCGGUGGUUCUGAAUGGAAGGGCCAUCGCUCAACGGAUAAAAGGUACUCCGGGGAUAACAGGCUGAUACCGCCCAAGAGUUCAUAUCGACGGCGGUGUUUGGCACCUCGAUGUCGGCUCAUCACAUCCUGGGGCUGAAGUAGGUCCCAAGGGUAUGGCUGUUCGCCAUUUAAAGUGGUACGCGAGCUGGGUUUAGAACGUCGUGAGACAGUUCGGUCCCUAUCUGCCGUGGGCGCUGGAGAACUGAGGGGGGCUGCUCCUAGUACGAGAGGACCGGAGUGGACGCAUCACUGGUGUUCGGGUUGUCAUGCCAAUGGCACUGCCCGGUAGCUAAAUGCGGAAGAGAUAAGUGCUGAAAGCAUCUAAGCACGAAACUUGCCCCGAGAUGAGUUCUCCCUGACCCUUUAAGGGUCCUGAAGGAACGUUGAAGACGACGACGUUGAUAGGCCGGGUGUGUAAGCGCAGCGAUGCGUUGAGCUAACCGGUACUAAUGAACCGUGAGG
rnacentral:rRNA from 1 species